rnacentral:misc_RNA from 1 species
GAUGAAGAACGUAGUGAAAUGCGAUAACUAAUGUGAAUUGCAGAAUUCCGUGAAUCAUCGAGUCUUUGAACGCACAUUGCGCCCCCUGGUAUUCCGGGGGGCAUGCCUGUCCGAGCGUCAUUGCUGCCCAUCAAGCACGGCUUGUGUGUUGGGUCCCGUCCCCCUCUCCCGGGGGACGGACCCGAAAGGCAGCGGCGGCACCGCGUCCGGUCCUCGAGCGUAUGGGGCUUUGUCACCCGCUCUUGUAGGCCCGGCCGGCGCUUGCCGACACCCAACCAUUUUUUUCAGGUUGACCUCGGAUCAGGUAGGGAUACCCGCUGAACUUAAGCAUAUCAAUAAGCGGAGGA